rnacentral:rRNA from 1 species
AUUGAACGCUGGCGGCAGGCCUAACACAUGCCAGUCGAACGGUAACAGGAAACAGCUUGCUGUUUCGCUGACGAGUGGCGGACGGGUGAGUAAUGUCUGGGAAACUGCCUGAUGGAGGGGGAUAACUACUGGAAACGGUAGCUAAUACCGCAUAACGUCGCAAGACCAAAGAGGGGGACCUUCGGGCCUCUUGCCAUCGGAUGUGCCCAGAUGGGAUUAGCUAGUAGGUGGGGUAACGGCUCACCUAGGCGACGAUCCCUAGCUGGUCUGAGAGGAUGACCAGCCACACUGGAACUGAGACACGGUCCAGACUCCUACGGGAGGCAGCAGUGGGGAAUAUUGCACAAUGGGCGCAAGCCUGAUGCAGCCACGCCGCGUGUAUGAAGAAGGCCUUCGGGUUGUAAAGUACUUUCAGCGGGGAUGAAGGGAGUAAAGUUAAUACCUUUGCUCAUUGACGUUACCCGCAGAAGAAGCACCGGCUAACUCCGUG